rnacentral:rRNA from 1 species
AAGUGGGGAUGACGUCAAGUCCUCAUGGCCCUUAUGGUAGGGCUUCACACGUCAUACAAUGGUCGGUACAGAGGGUUGCCAAGCCGCGAGGUGGAGCCAAUCCCACAAAGCCGGUCGUAGUCCGGAUCGCAGUCUGCAACUCGACUGCGUGAAGUCGGAAUCGCUAGUAAUCGCGGAUCAGCAUGUCGCGGUGAAUACGUUCCCGGGCCUU